rnacentral:sRNA from 1 species
GCUGGGUGUGGUAUUGCACACCUGUAAUCCUCGUGACUUGGGAGACUGAGGCAGGAGGAUUGCAGGUUCAAGCCCUGCCUCAG